rnacentral:rRNA from 1 species
GACGAACGCUGGCGGCGUGCUUAACACAUGCAAGUCGAACGGAAAGGCCCUGCUUGCCGGGUACUCGAGUGGCGAACGGGUGAGUAACACGUGGGUGAUCUGCCCUGCACUUCGGGAUAAGCCUGGGAAACUGGGUCUAAUACCGGAUAGGAGCCAUUUUUAGUGUGAUGGUUGGAAAGUUUUUUCGGUGUAGGAUGGGCUGGCGGCCUACCACCUUGUUGGUGGGUGAAUGGCUGACCAAGGCGGCGACGGGUGGCCGGCCUGAGAGGGUGGACGGCCACAUUGGGACUGAGAUACGGCCCAGACUCCUACGGGAGGCAGCAGUGGGGAAUAUUGCACAAUGGGCGCAAGCCUGAUGCAGCGACGCCGCGGGGGGGAUGACGGCCUUCGGGUUGUAAACGCCUUUCGCUAGGGACGAAGCUUUUUGUGACGGUACCUAGAGAAGAAGCACCGGCUAACUACGUG